rnacentral:lncRNA from 1 species
UUUCUGAAAUAGACCCUAAUAUUCUGCCUUUAUCCCAGAGGACGCAGGUGUACCUUCCCUCAGGCUGAUGACCUCAGGCCUCCACGGUCCCUGGAGCUCUAGGAAAGGUGGGCACGAUCUCAUGCCCACACCCAGUGCCCUGGGUCAUAAGCCUGGAUCUGGAAAAACAAACGCCCCUUAAGGAGAUGGGGACUCCCCAGGAUACUCCUCCCUCCCCUCAUCCAGCCUCCAGCCCACCCGAUUCCUCCCCACCUCCUCCACCUCCCCAGGCCCCACCCACCUCCUCCAACUCCUCCAGGAAAACCCAAGCCCUGCAGUGCACGGAACGGAAGAACCGGAACCGAAGCUUCUGGAACAAGGGAUCUGAGAGCGGUUCUUCCCGUACAGGAAGUAGAAGAUGUUUUGUUUGGGGGUCUCACUGUCCUCCUCCGUGUCAUUGACGAGGUAGCUGGGGACAGCUAUCAGGUUACUGCUCAGGGGCACCACCAGGAGAGACCUCCGGCUGAGGUCAGCUUCCUAGAGAGGAGGAGUAAAGAGGACAAAUAGGGUGAAAGAAUAAAUGAAAGGCUGGAAUCCCACUUCCCCCGCUGUCCCAGGGCGUUGGGUAUUGACCGAUAGGAGGCAGCAAACCACUCACACAGCCAGGAAGAAAUGGAUGCAUUUGUAUUGCCAGGAGAAGAGGCCGGCCCGGCUAAAAUACGCUAUGACCAUAGCCAGGAGAUACUGAUGGAGAGACGGGAACACAGAGAGGGAGAGGUCACAUCUUGGGAGAGGAAGAUCGUGGAGAUGGUGGAAUGGGGGUCUGGGGAGGGGGUGCCCAUCAAAGAAGCGACCUCAGUGUUGGGGUGACUGUGCUCAUGUGCAAAUUGCGGGGUGGAGGGGUAUUUGAUGGUUGGAGGCAAAUCCGAGAAGCCGGAGGAAGGGUUUUCGGUGGUGCUCCCAGGAUGGUGGGCUCUGAUGGGAUCUUUGGAGGGGGCGUGUCUAGGUCAGCUGGUGUCAGGAGGGUCUUUUGUGUGCCAGGCAGAGAACUGUCCCAAAGAGCUGAGAGUAGAGGGGCCAGGAGCUUCAGGGCUGCGGCCAGACUGCGGCCCAGGGCUCAGAUCCCAAACGACCUGUAGGAGAGGCAGGGGCUACUCAUUCACUCGGCAACAGACCAGCAGAGUCCUGAGGGAGAUGCUGACAAAUCAUAAAAAAACCAAGAAUAGCCAGGAGUGGUGGCUUAAGCCUGUGAUCCCAGUAGUUUGAGAGGCUGAGAUAGGAGGAUCACGUGAGCCCAGCAGUUCGAGAACAACCUGGGCAACAUAGCAAGACCCUGUUUGUAUAAAAAUUAUUCAAGCAUGAUGGCAUGUGCCUGUACUCCCAGCUACUCAGGAGGCUGAGGCAGGAGGAUUGCUUGAGCCCAGGAAUUAGAGGCUGCAGUGAGCUGUGAUCAUGCCACUGCACUCCAUCCUGGGGAGCACAGCUCGAUUCUGUCUCGAAAAAAAAAAAAAAGGUGGGCACCAAGACUCAAGACUGUGGGAGCUGGAGGGGCACAGUGGCUGAUGUCUGUAAUCCCAGCAUUUUGGGAGGCCAUGGUGAGCGGAACACCUGAGGUCAGGUGUUCAAGACCAGCCAGGUCAACAUGGCAAAACCCCGUCUCUACUAAAACCACAAAAAUGAGCCAGCCGUGGUGGUACAUGCCUGUAAUUCCACCUGCCUGAGAGGCUGAGGCAGGAGAAUGCCUUGAACUCGGGAGGCGUCGGCUGCAGUGAGGCAAGGUUGAGGCACUGCCCCCCAGCCUGGGCAACAGAGCGAGACUCUGUCUCACAAAAA